GACGAACGCUGGCGGCGUGCUUAACACAUGCAAGUCGAGCGGUAAGGCCCUUUCGGGGGUACGACGAGCGGCGAACGGGUGAGUAACACGUGGGUGACCUGCCCUCCAGCUCUGGGAUAAGCCUGGGAAACCGGGUCUAAUACCGGAUAUGACUCCAUGACGCAUGUUGUGGGGUGGAAAGCCUUGUGCGGCUGAGGAUGGGCCCGCGGCCUAUCAGCUUGUUGGUGGGGUGAUGGCCUACCAAGGCGACGACGGGUAGCCGGCCUGAGAGGGCGACCGGCCACACUGGGACUGAGACACGGCCCAGACUCCUACGGGAGGGCAGCAGUGGGGAAGUCUUGCGCAAUGGGCGAAAGCCUGACGCAGCGACGCCGCGUGAGGGAUGACGGCCUGUG
rnacentral:rRNA from 1 species